CUCAUUCGGCAAUUUCCGCCGCUCCAAGCGCACAGGCAGAAUUCAAGAUUUCAACCUCGGUUUCGUUUUCUUUUCCUUUUAAUUUUCUGUUUUUUGAGUGGCUGAUUUCUUUAAUUCUAGUUGAGAAUUGGUUGAAACUAAGGUUGUUUAAUGGGUUGUGAGAUCUGAACAUAAAUUAUUGUCUUUGGUUUUGUUCAAUAUUUAUGCAAUUGAUGCUUUAAUUAUAUGAUUACUUUGUUGUUUUGAUCAAAUUGGCCACUUGAUUUUAAUUGCAAAAUUAAUUGAUUAUUAGUUGGGAUUAUUUUUAGUCCGUAAUUGCUGGAAAUAUUCUGACCUUAGAACACUUGGGAUAAAACCCAAGAAAAUUGCAUGAUCUAGCGUUAUCUCCAUACGUUUGGGUAGCUAGGAUUGGAUCUCUCUAUUUCUUUAUGCAAUUGACAAUUGUUUUGAUGCCUAUGACCCAAGGACGUUCCUUGACAAUUUGUUAAUUAGUAAUUAAUUAGAGGACGUUCCCUAAUUAAUUUAAUCAUAAGGAGAGACAUGGUGGUGAGAAGCGUCUUCCACUCCCAUAACUAAUCUAUUGAACUAAUCAAGAUAAUCUAAGUUUCAAUGAUCAACCCAAACAAUCAAAGUGGAUCCAUAUCUUCAACUAGGCUUCUCUCAUAUUGAUUUCCUCUUUUAUUUUAAUUAUUUGCUUUCUAUUAUUACUCAUUAUUAGUUACUACAAUCAAUCUCAAACCCCCCCCAUUUUACUUUUAUUGCAAUUUAUUUUUAUUCUGCUUCCAGUUUAUCUCAUUUGAUCCCACUUUCAGACUUUUAUCUCAUCUUUAAUUUAUUAUUGUUUCAGUUCAUUUUAUUAUUCUUGUUGAGAAAAAUAAAUAGGUAAUCAAUUCUCUGUGGAUUCGAUCCUUUCACUACUAUCUGCAGUUGUAAAAUUGUUGAUAACUAGGAAGGUUAUUUUUGAUCGGCUUCGACAACCGCGAGUCAAAAAUUGGCGCCGUUGCCGGAGAAUUGAUUUCACUUGUUUGUUUGUUUUUUUUCAUGACCAGAUCUGAACACAGGGACACACUGCCCUUUGAUCCAGAAAUUGAACGCACUCUCAGAAGACUUAGAAAGCAAGCCGCAGAAGCUUCAUCUGAAGCAACCGAAUUUUACCAACAAGCUGCACCAAUGGCUGAACCUAUUCCACAAGANNNN
rnacentral:lncRNA from 1 species